GACGAACGCUGGCGGCGUGCUUAACACAUGCAAGUCGAACGGAAAGGCCCUGCUUUUGUGGGGUGCUCGAGUGGCGAACGGGUGAGUAACACGUGAGUAACCUGCCCUUGACUUUGGGAUAACUUCAGGAAACUGGGGCUAAUACCGGAUAGGAGCUCCUGCUGCAUGGUGGGGGUGGGAAAGUUUCGGCGGUUGGGGAUGGACUCGCGGCUUAUCAGCUUGUUGGUGGGGUAGUGGCUUACCAAGCCUUUGACGGGUAGCCGGCCUGAGAGGGUGACCGGCCACAUUGGGACUGAGAUACGGCCCAGACUCCUACGGGAGGCAGCAGUGGGGAAUAUUGCACAAUGGGCGGAAGCCUGAUGCAGCAACGCCGCGUGCGGGAUGACGGCCUUCGGGUUGUAAACCGCUUUCGCCUGUGACGAAGCGUGAGUGACGGUAAUGGGUAAAGAAGCACCGGCUAACUACGUG
rnacentral:rRNA from 1 species